rnacentral:tRNA from 1 species
GAGGAUAUAGCUCAGUGGUAGAGCAUGUGCUUAGCAUACACAAGGUCCUGGGUCCAAUCCCCAGUGCCUCCA